rnacentral:rRNA from 1 species
UAUUGGACAAUGGGCGAAAGCCUGAUCCAGCCAUGCCGCGUGAGUGAUGAAGGCCUUAGGGUUGUAAAGCUCUUUUGCCGGGGACGAUAAUGACGGUACCCGGAGAAUAAGUCCCGGCUAACUUCGUUCCAGCAGCCGCGGUAAUACGAAGGGGACUAGCGUUGUUCGGAAUCACUGGGCGUAAAGCGCACGUAGGCGGAUAUGUCAGUCAGGGGUGAAAUCCCGGGGCUCAACCUCGGAACUGCCCUUGAUACAGCAUAUCUUGAGUCCGAUAGAGGUGGGUGGAAUUCCUAGUGUAGAGGUGAAAUUCGUAGAUAUUAGGAAGAACACCGGUGGCGAAGGCGGCCCACUGGAUCGGUACUGACGCUGAGGUGCGAAAGCGCGGGGAGCAAACAGG